UGGUCUCCUUGGUGAAAGUCCUGUGUUGUUUCCCCCAUCCACCACCCCCAACCUGUCUCCUUAUGCUGAUUUUUGCUCUUUCAUACUACUCUCUACCGUUGUCUCUCUUAAAACUACAUCAUCUUACAGCGCCGCGGUGGAGCUGCAACUCUGCCCGGUUCCAUAUAGACGCUAAAGGGGGAUUUUUGCAUCGGUAUCUGACGCUGAGAGACUAUUUAUCAGUAUUU